AACGAACGCUGGUGGCGUGCUUAACACAUGCAAGUCGAACGAGAAAGUUUCCUUCGGGAAAUUAGUAAAGUGGCGCAAGGGUGAGUAUCACGUGAAUAAUCUGCCCUCGAGAUCGGGAUAACAUGGUGAAAACUGUGCUAAUACCGGAUAAGACCACAUUUCAUAGGAAGUGCGGUAAAAGGAGUCUCAAUCUUCACUCGAGGAUGAGUUCGCGCAACAUUAGCUUGUUGGUGAGAUAAAAGCUCACCAAGGCUACGAUGUUUAGCCGGCCUGAGAGGGUGAUCAGCCACACUGGGACUGAGACACGGCCCAGACUCCUACGGGAGGCAGCAGUGGGGAAUAUUGCACAAUGGGCGAAAGCCUGAUGCAGCUAUACCGCGUGGGUGAAG
rnacentral:rRNA from 1 species